UACGUAGGGUGCAAGCGUUGUCCGGAAUUAUUGGGCGUAAAGAGCUCGUAGGCGGUUUGUCGCGUCGAAUGUGAAAACUCGGGGCUUAACCCUGGGCCUGCAGUGGGUACGGGCAGACUAGAGUGCGGUAGGGGAGACUGGAAUUCCUGGUGUAGCGGUGAAAUGCGCAGAUAUCAGGAGGAACACCGGUGGCGAAGGCGGGUCUCUGGGCCGUAACUGACGCUGAGGAGCGAAAGCGUGGGGAGCGAACAGG
rnacentral:rRNA from 1 species